UACGUAGGGGGCAAGCGUUGUCCGGAAUCAUUGGGCGUAAAGAGCGUGUAGGCGGCCAGAAAAGUCCGCUGUGAAAACUCGAGGCUCAACUUCGAGCUGUCGGUGGAAACUUUCUGGCUAGAGUCCGGAAGAGGAGAAUGGAAUUCCUGGUGUAGCGGUGAAAUGCGUAGAUAUCUGGAGGAAUACCGGUGGCGAAGGCGGCAUCCUGGACCGGCAUUGACGCUGAGGAGCGAAAGCCAGGGGAGCAAACGGG
rnacentral:rRNA from 1 species